AACGAACGCUGGCGGCAUGCCUAACACAUGCAAGUCGAACGAGACCUUCGGGUCUAUUGGCUCACGGGUGCGUAACGCGUGGGAACCUGCCCUUAGGUUCGGAAUAACUCCCCGAAAGGGGUGCUAAUACCGGAUAAUGUCUUCGGACCAAAGAUUUAUCGCCGUUGGAUGGGCCCGCGUUGUAUUAGAUAGUUGGUAGGGUAACAGCCUACCAAGGCGACGAUCCAUAGCUGGUCUGAGAGGAUGAUCAGCCACACUGGGACUGAGACACGGCCCAGACCCCUACGGGAGGCAGCAGUGGGGAAUAAUGGACGACGGGCGAAAGCAGGAGCCAGCAAUGCCGCGUGAGUGAUGAAGGACUUAGGGUUGUAAAGCUCUUUUACCCGGGAUGAUAAGGAGAGUACCGGGAGAAUAAGCUCCGGCUAACUCGGG
rnacentral:rRNA from 1 species